CCGAGUUAGGGUGUCAAACUUAUGCGCCCGACCUCCAACCCUUUGUCUACUUGACCUUAUGUUGCUUCGGCAGGCCCGCUGGUGUCCCUUUGGGGCCCGGCCGCCGGGGGGUCCUCGUGGCCCCGGGUCCGCGCCUGCCGAUGGCCCCUUCUUAAACUAUUGUUAAAACGUGUCGUCUGAGUUUAUGAUUAAACAAUCAAAACA
rnacentral:misc_RNA from 1 species